CUUGAGACCGGCGCACGGGUGCGUAACGCGUAUGCAACCUACCUUUAUCUGGGGGAUAGCCCGGAGAAAUCCGGAUUAAUACCGCAUAAAAUCACAGUAUUGCAUAAUACAAUGAUCAAACAUUUAUGGGAUGAAGAUGGGCAUGCGUGUCAUUAGCUAGUUGGCGGGGUAACGGCCCACCAAGGCGACGAUGACUAGGGGAUCUGAGAGGAUGACCCCCCACACUGGUACUGAGACACGGACCAGACUCCUACGGGAGGCAGCAGUAAGGAAUAUUGGUCAAUGGAGGCAACUCUGAACCAGCCAUGCCGCGUGCAGGAAGACUGCCCUAUGGGUUGUAAACUGCUUUUAUCCGGGAAUAAACCUAUUUACGAGUAAAUAGCUGAAUGUACCGGAAGAAUAAGGAUCGGCUAACUCCGUGCCAGCAGCCGCGGUAAUACGGAGGAUCCAAGCGUUAUCCGGAUUUAUUGGGUUUAAAGGGUGCGUAGGCGGCCCGUUAAGUCAGGGGUGAAAGACGGUAGCUCAACUAUCGCAGUGCCUUUGAUACUGACGGGCUUGAAUGAACUAGAGGUAGGCGGAAUGAGACAAGUAGCGGUGAAAUGCAUAGGUAUGUCUCAGA
rnacentral:rRNA from 1 species